GAUGAACGCUGGCGGCGUGCCUAAUACAUGCAAGUCGAGCGAACAGACGAGGAGCUUGCUCCUUCGACGUUAGCGGCGGACGGGUGAGUCACACGUAGGUAACCUACCUAUCAGACUGGGAUAACUUCGGGAAACCGGCGCUAAUCCCGGAUAAUAUUUCGAACCGCAUGGUUCGAUAGUGAAAGAUGGCUUUGCUGUCACUUAUAGCUGGUCCUGGGCCGUAUUAGCUAGUUGGUAAGGUAAAGGCCUACCAAGGCAACUAUACGUAGCCGACCUGAUAGAGUGGUCGCCGACAUGAGAGCGUGGACAGGGACCAGAGGCCUACGAGAGGGAGCAGUAGGGAAUCUUCCGCAAUAGGCGAAAGCCUGACGGAACAGCGCCGCGUGAGUGAUGAAGGUGUUCGGAGCGGAAAACUCGGCUAUGAGUGAAGAACAAACGUGGAAGGAGCUGAGCACGGCGUGACGGUACCGGAUCAGGAAGCCACGGCUAACUACGUG
rnacentral:rRNA from 1 species